rnacentral:lncRNA from 12 species
CAGGUGAUAAAGGGUCCUGCCGCGAGGCUCUCUGGGAAGCGUAGUUCUAGACCGGACUAAAACUCCUUGGGCUCGCCCCGGAAGACUACAGUUCCCGGUGAGCACUGCGCCCCCAAGGCUGCCGGAACCCUGGCGUGGGGAGGCGUGGGGAGGCGGGGGGAGGGGGAAGGAGAAGUAGAGGAGAGGGCGGGAGGCUGCCGGGGUCGGGAGGUGCGACUCCUCCUAGCGGGGAGUUGGAGAGGGUUGUGGCGGGGCGCGCGAGCGCGAGCAGGUGGUGCCGGAGAUGAAAGCUCAGGAACCGGGCCGGGCCGCCCAACUAAGUGAACUUGGCCCGUCAGCGGAGACCCGGACCCUCCGGCCGCGUUGCCGGCCGCGUUCACGCCACGAGCCCUCGCGCGCCUGCCGCAGGUCGGGCCGGAGCCUGGGCACCGCGGAGGAGCGAGCGAGCGAGGCGCGCGGCCGCCCGCGCCGCCGCGGAGCCGACCCCGGGCGAGUCCGCGGCACCGCGUCCCUUCGCGUCGUACGCGCUGCGGCGGGGCGGGGGCGCCUGGACCCCGGCCGGCCUCGAGCGUCCCUUCGACUUCACUUUAGCAUGAGCCUGUGCUGCCUCUGUAGACAGCUGGAAGCAGCUGUGUCAAGACCUGCAGUGUUAUCAUGGAUGCCUAAUGGCUCGGGGAGAGGAAAAGAAGAGAAGAAGAAGAAGAAGAAGAAAAAGAAGAAGGAGAAGGAGAAGGAGAAGGAGAAGGAGGAGAAGGAGAAGAAGAAGAAAGAAAGAAAGAAGAAAGAAAGAAGGAAGAAAGAAGAAAGAAGAAAGAAGAAAGAAGAAAGAAAGCAUCACCAGGCAAAGUGUACCUGUAAUACGAUUGGCCUGUAA